GACGAACGCUGGCGGCGUGCUUAACACAUGCAAGUCGAACGAUGAAGAAGAGAAACGCGAACUUCGGUUCAAAUUUCACUUCGGAUUAGUGGCAGACGGGUGAGUAACGCGUGAGCAACCUACCUCUUACAAAGGGAUAGCCUCGGGAAACCGUGAUUAAUACCAUAUGACACAUUCAUAAGGCAUCUUAAGAAUGUUAAAGCUACGGCGGUAAGAGAUGGGCUCGCGUCCCAUUAGCUAGUUGGUGAGGUAACGGCCCACCAAGGCGACGAUGGGUAACCGGCCUGAGAGGGUGAACGGUAACAGUGGAACUGAGACACGGUCCAAACUCCUACGGGAGGCAGCAGUGGGGAAUAUUGCACAAUGGAGGGAACUCUGAUGCAGCGACGCCGCGUGAGCGAUGAAGGAAUUCGUUUCGUAAAGCUCUGUUCUAUGGGAAGAAAAGGACUGUACCAUAGGAGAAAGCCCCGGCUAAAUACGUG
rnacentral:rRNA from 1 species